CCUACGGGAGGCAGCAGUGGGGAAUAUUGCACAAUGGGGGAAACCCUGAUGCAGCAACGCCGCGUGAGUGAAGAAGGUUUUCGGAUUGUAAAGCUCUGUUAGCAGGGAAGAGGAAGGACGGUACCUGCAGAGGAAGCCACGGCUAACUACGUGCCAGCAGCCGCGGUAAUACGUAGGAUGCGAGCGUUAUCCGGAUUUAUUGGGUUUAAAGGGUGCGCAGGCGGGCUGUUAAGCCGGCGGUAAAAAUUCAGGGCUCAACCCUGUCGAGCCGUCGGAACUGGCAGUCUUGAGUGGGCGAGAAGUAUGCGGAAUGCGUGGUGUAGCGGUGAAAUGCAUAGAUAUCACGCAGAACGCCGAUUGCGAAGGCAGCAUACCGGCGCCCAACUGACGCUGAGGCACGAAAGCGUGGGGAUCGAACAGGAUUAGAUACCCUAGUAGUC
rnacentral:rRNA from 1 species